rnacentral:sRNA from 1 species
UCACCAUAUGGUGGCCAAGAUCAUAAAUGC